CUCAUGAUGAACGCUAGCUACAGGCUUAACACAUGCAAGUCGAGGGGCAGCAUUUUAGUUUGCUUGCAAACUGAAGAUGGCGACCGGCGCACGGGUGAGUAACACGUAUCCAACCUACCGAUAACUCCGGAAUAGCCUUUCGAAAGAAAGAUUAAUACCGGAUAGCAUACGAAUAUCGCAUGAUAUUUUUAUUAAAGAAUUUCGGUUAUCGAUGGGGAUGCGUUCCAUUAGUUUGUUGGCGGGGUAACGGCCCACCAAGACUACGAUGGAUAGGGGUUCUGAGAGGAAGGUCCCCCACAUUGGAACUGAGACACGGUCCAAACUCCUACGGGAGGCAGCAGUGAGGAAUAUUGGUCAAUGGGCGAGAGCCUGAACCAGCCAAGUAGCGUGAAGGAUGAAGGCUCUAUGGGUCGUAAACUUCUUUUAUAUGGGAAUAAAGUUUUCCACGUGUGGAAUUUUGUAUGUACCAUAUGAAUAAGGAUCGGCUAACUCCGUGCCAGCAGCCGCGGUAAUACGGAGGAUCCGAGCGUUAUCCGGAUUUAUUGGGUUUAAAGGGAGCGUAGGUGGAUUGUUAAGUCAGUUGUGAAAGUUUGCGGCUCAACCGUAAAAUUGCAGUUGAAACUGGCAGUCUUGAGUACAGUAGAGGUGGGCGGAAUUCGUGGUGUAGCGGUGAAAUGCUUAGAUAUCACGAAGAACUCCGAUUGCGAAGGCAGCUCACUAGACUGUCACUGACACUGAUGCUCGAAAGUGUGGGUAUCAAACAGGAUUAGAUACCCUGGUAGUCCACACAGUAAACGAUGAAUACUCGCUGUUUGCGAUAUACAGUAAGCGGCCAAGCGAAAGCAUUAAGUAUUCCACCUGGGGAGUACGCCGGCAACGGUGAAACUCAAAGGAAUUGACGGGGGUCCGCACAAGCGGAGGAACAUGUGGUUUAAUUCGAUGAUACGCGAGGAACCUUACCCGGGCUUAAAUUGCAACAGAAUAUAUUGGAAACAGUAUAGCCGUAAGGCUGUUGUGAAGGUGCUGCAUGGUUGUCGUCAGCUCGUGCCGUGAGGUGUCGGUUUAAGUGCCAUAACGAGCGCAACCCUUAUCUUUAGUUAUUAACAGGUUAUGCUGAGGACUCUAGAGAGACUGCCGUCGUAAGAUGUGAGGAAGGUGGGGAUGACGUCAAAUCAGCACGGCCCUUACGUCCGGGGCUACACACGUGUUACAAUGGGGGGUACAGAAGGCGGCUACCUGGUGACAGGAUGCUAAUCCCAAAAACCUCUCUCAGUUCGGAUCGAAGUCUGCAACCCGACUUCGUGAAGCUGGAUUCGCUAGUAAUCGCGCAUCAGCCAUGGCGCGGUGAAUACGUUCCCGGGCCUUGUACACACCGCCCGUCAAGCCAUGAAAGCCGGGGGUACCUGAAGUACGUAACCGCAAGGAGCGUCCUAGG
rnacentral:rRNA from 1 species